UAGAAGUACUUUCGGCUUGUCCCUUUCGGGGUCGCCACUGCGUGUCAUCUCAGAUGCAACGCAUUUUCCAAAUUGUCGAUAUGACGGAAAUUUUCUUUGAGGUAUUAAGGGUUUAUUUCCUAUUGCCUUAUAGUUUUGUAAUGAACGCAUAAAGAUGUCACAAUGGGAUAUUAUGUAGUAUAUUUUUAAUAAAGAUUUGAAGAGAGACAACCCAAGCCUGGCCAGCCUACUGGCGGCCAGCCAGCACUCCCUGGCCACGUUUCAAGAUAACUUUGCAUGCAGGCGGAGGGACACAAAGUGUAGGUUGGCAAGCCGCUGCUGCUUGAGGGGAGCUGUGUAGCCAAUCGUGAGGUAUAGGGAAGUGCGAGGCAGUACCGGAUUUUUCCCUAAGCAGUGCUAUAUACUCUAACCACCAAGGUCCUGGUCGUCCUGUUGUAGUGGCACAUGGGGACUACUGAAGUGACGGUUAAUUUGCAUCCUUGUUCCACCACCGGGAUGUCCUUUCCUGCAAGGCACCUUCUGCACUUCCACAUCUGACAGUUGCUGGUGACGUUUACCAAGUCGCAAGCUUGGUAAGCUGGACAGGUGUAGUCUCCUUGAGUACGGUCCUGGGUACUGCUUUUCCAUCUUAUGUGGAACCGCUGGAUCUGCUCGAAUUUGUCACCCUCCGUCAUUGCGCAGCAGAGUUGGACUAUGGCACCAAGGACAAGGAUACACGUGACCCAGCAGACGACAUUGCCACCUCUUGGGCCCUCGGUCUUCCCUGGUCCGGCCAUGGCGCCUCUCCGAUGAUGGUCUUACAAUCAGCAAAUACCACCACGGCAUCUGUAUUACGACAAAUAGUGCAUACUCCAAACAUAUGAUUAGUUCUCUCUUGUAUAACAUUUUGACACCGGUACAUUUACCCAUUUUUCUUCUCCAGGAUAUAAGACGCUCACAGUAACAUCUUGCCCUUGAGCUAAAAUUUCUGCUGCUCGGGGAGGACCGUCUGGCUGUUUUACCCAAACUUUUGCCCCUGCCAAAUCAGUGGAGCCAAAUCCUCCCUCCCCUCAGGUGGUUAUCACUACAGGUUUAGGUAUUUCUUUUACCUUGGUUACAAGGCAAGGCUUCACUAUUGAGCAAUUUUGUCCCCUCUUUCCAAUGUAAGGGGCUGUUCUGCUAAUAAUUUGCAUUCCACUCCAAUUUCUCCUUGAUAGUCCGCAUCAAUUACUCCGGCUUGAAUUGUUAACCCUUUUAGUGAUAACCCACUUCGUGGUAGAAUGUGUCCAUAUGUCCCUGGUGGACACUGGAGCCCCGUUCCUGUUUUUACUAUUUGGAUUUCGUUGGGAACCAGAGUGAUGUUUGUCAGGAUUUUCAAAUCCAAUCCCACUGAGCCUGGAGUAGCUCGUACAGGAAUUUCAGCUUGAGGAUCAAUUUUCCACAUUUUAAUUUCCCCAUUGGAAUUUUGUACUGGUUCCCCCAUUAUCAUUCGUAUUAGGGGCGUUAUUCCCACCCCAAGCGGUCUAUUAUUAAUCUGAUUCACCGCCUCGGGUAUGCACCAUUUGUCCAGCGUUCUGUUUCGAGAUAGCUUUUUUCAUGUUUCCUUAAGAAUUCCGUUCAUUCGCUCUAUUAACCCAGCAGCCUGUGGAUAAUAGGGAAUGUGAUAGAUCCAUUCUACAUGGUGAGUCUUUACCCACUCUUUCACCACAUUUCCUGUGAAAUGCGUUCCAUUAUCCGUCUGUAUUUGAACUGGUGUUCCAUAAUACCUCUGUAUUACUUCUAAACAUCGUAUUGUGCUUCGUUGUUUUGCUGUUUUACAGGGAUGAACUACCAGAACCCCUGAGAAUUUGUCUACUGCGGUGCAGGCCUGAGACUGUGGCAGUGGUCCAACAAAAUCCAUCUGACUGGUCUGUCCAGAGGUUUUACCCCUGUGUAGCUGUCCUGCCACAUGCUGAGGAACACCUCGCCUCUGAUGUUGACAUUCUUCACAUUCUGCAAUAGCGGUUCUGACAUCGUCGUACUUCAGAUCUAUGCCCCUGUCUCGAGCCCACUGGAGAGUUCCUUGUACUCCCCAAUGUCCUGCUUUAACAUGAGCCCAUCUAGCUAACCCUGGGCUAGACUCUCUUACUUCCGUCAUGAUUUUUGUCCUAGUUGUGGGUUGAAUGCACCGGCCUUUCCAUCGCCGUUUACCAGCAAUGUAUUGGCACGACCCAUCAGUGAACCAAGCACUCUCUUUUUCCUCCUUAUCUAGGUCGUCCCAUCGUUUUCCCGCCGUUACUGGAGACUCUUCGAGAGGAUGUACCUCGAACGGCGUCUCUCCAUCCUCCGGAGCAUCUGCAACUUGUUCAUGCAACAUAGAGACUCCUUUUUCCCCUAUUUUAAUUCGCUCAGACAUACCAUUUCCAUUUGAUAAUACUAGCUUCCUGUGCGGAUCCUAUUCUACGUGUCGUCGGGUUACCUUUAACCCAUGUCAAAAUCGGUAUAUGUGUUCUUAUUAAUACCUCAUGGCCCACCGUUUGAGCCUCAGUUUCAACCAAUGCCCAAUAGCAUGCUAAUAGCUGCUUUUCAAAAGGUGUGUACCUUAGGCCUGCUUCUGGGAGCUUUCUCGACCAGAAUCCCAAGGGUUUACGAAUCCUAUCUUGCUUUUGCCACAAACUCCAGUUAGCGUAUUCAUUUAACGCCAACACCUGCAAUCCUACCGGUCCCGAUUUCAUUUUUCCCUGUGACUCUGCUUGCUGUAUCGCUUCCUUCGCCAUAUCAAAUGAUCGCUGUUGUUCUUCUCCCCAACUAAAGUCCUCCUUUUUCCUAGUGCAUUUGUAGAGAGGUUGAAGUAUCUGUCCCAAAUGAGGAAUAUGACCCGAUAUAUUUCCUAGCAUCUGCCUUGGUGUGUGGAACUGGAAAGUUAGCAAUUUUAGCCUUAGCUUUUUCUGCCACUUCCCUUUCCGCUUUGUUCCAGAUGAUUCCUAGAAAUUUCACCGUUUGCGAAGGUCCUUGGAACUUUGCAGGGUUAAUUUCCCAUCCGAACCCUUUCAUGUGCUGUAUUAGCUGUCCUAGAGCUUCCUUCACCUCUUCCUCACUCGUUCCUUGCACUAGUAUGUCAUCGAUAUAAUGUGAUAUCAUUAUUUUCUUGGGAACUUUUAGCUUUUCCAGGUGCUCUGCUACCACCCGGUGGCAGAUUGUGGGACGAUGUAAAUAACCCUGUGGUAGUCUGGUAAACGUGUAUUGGCGCCCUUCCCAGGUAAACGCAAAUUGAUUCAUCCUAUCCUUAGGAAUAGGAAUAGUGAAAAAUGCGUUAGCCAAAUCUAUGACCCCAUACCACGUUCCAGGAUGAUGUUGCACUCGUUCUAUAAUUGUCACUGCGUCGGGCACCACGACAGUCAAUGCAGGUGUGUGUUUAUUCAAUCCUCCGUUGUCUACUGUCAUCCUCCAAGAGUUAUCUGAUAACGGAUUGUUCCAGUUUGUCGUCACUGUUUUCAAUACACCAGCUUCUAAAUGUUCUUUAAUGGUCGCCGAAAUUUCUCCCUGUCCUCCAGGUAUCCGGUAUUGCUUUUGACUAACUACCUGUGUAACUUGUGGUAUCGGAAAAGGUGGCAUUUUUACUUUACACACCAAUAUUGUAUGUAUUUUCAGUGAAUUUACUCCGAAUUCAAAUCUCCCGGCUGUCAAAUAAAGUAUCAUUCCGGCUAAUAUGUCCAUGCCCACUAUUUACUCUGGGAUAGGGGUUAUGAUCACCAUAUAUGAUUUAUAGGCAAAUAUUUCCUAUUUUCAACGGUAAGUUUACAUGUUUUACAUAAAUCACUUUUCCUCCUAGACCUGUUAAUGGUACUAGGGAUUUCCAUAAAUUAUUGAGGCCUCCGCCCCGGUAUCUACUAACGCUGUUACUGUUUGAACUGAUUUAUCCCAAUAAAUUUCCAUCCUCACAUGAGGUCUAAUAUCACUGAUAGACCAUCGUUGAGCAGGUUGUUAACGAGCUACCAGGGCUUGGCCUUCAUCCUAUUCAUCAUCAUGAUGGCGUUGUUUAUUUUUGCCUUUCUUCCCCUUCUUCCGUCGCUGCACUGCUGCUACCUGCCUCACUUCCUCCUCCUCGCUUGAUGAAGUCCCCUGUGUGGGAGGUGCAAUAGGAGUGGUAGGAGGGACAAUGGGAGGGGGCGGUUCAAGCUACCUGUGGAUGCUAUGGAAAAUUUAUAAAUCUUUAGGAUUAGGGUUAGUGGUAUAAGUGCAGCUUGUCAGCUGCCAACUUUGACGGAUGCCCAUUACGCGGGAAAGACGCCCAACACAAGUUUGUCAGCUGUUGGAAAAUCUACUCCCCAUGCAGGGCAGAGGCAAAAGAUUAGCCAGGAAUGGUUUUUAAAUUCAAGUGGCUCAAAUUGAGGGACUCAUUUUUUUUCUGCCAAUGGUGUAUUGACAGUGGGAGAAAAAAUGUUCUGACACGCUGAAAAUCAUCAGUGGCGCUGAAGUUGGAUGACUUUGUGAAGCAUCAGCAGACAAUUGAUCCAAGUUUGCUGCAACUGCAAAGACAUAGUUGAUGUAGAAAGUGGUUUCAGCAGGCAUAGCAUUGUAAAGACGUCCUUAAGAAACUCUCAAAACAGAAAGUGUAAAUGAACUGUUAAUCGUUAAAAUUGAAGACCCUGAAGAAUUGUUUGAUUUUGAUACAAGUUUUUGUAAAUGGGUGAGCAGUAAAAAGAGGUGAAACUUUAUGGUAGGAAUCAUGCAAAAACUUUGUGUUGAAAAGUGAUGUAUUUUCUACAGUCAGGAGUAUAGAAGAGGAUUGAGAAACUUUUUUUUAUGACACAUCUCGUCAUUCUUAAUGUUUAUUAGAUUCAGUUCCCAAUAGAAAUAUAAUUCCUUGUAUCACAUUUACGUCUGAAAGUUAUUUGUAUGCAUGUAACCUGAAGAACAAGAAAAAGUAUUAGUCAUGUUAGUAGACCACAGUUUGACCGACAUGUGAUUGGCUAUUUUUUGGCUAUGAUUAUAGAAAAGUGGCUAAUGAAAAUUUAUUUUGGUUAAAAAAAAAAUGGCUAAUGAUGAAAAAAGGCUAGCCAGGGCCCUCAGUCAUGCCAAAAACGCAUGUUCAGAGCUUCUUUGCGUGCGGCGAGGGCAUUUAUGUUGAAAGUCAUCAACAUGAGCCAUGUCAAAGGAAUUUCAGUUACACUGAAAACAUUUUUGGGAUAUAACACAGGUAAUGUUUUAGUAUCUAACUAUCAUAAGUAUGAGAUUGUGAUUGACUUUACUUGAUUUACUUUGACAUGAUCUAAGUUCUAACGUUAGACUAGUCUGUCCAUAUAUGUAAAUGCAAAUGGUCAAUUUCCCCAUGGUACGUUAUCAUGAAAUUGAAAACUUUUCUCCUCUACAUGCUUUAGGAAGUUAUAGAUCAUCUAGCCUAGCUUUCAUCAAUGGAUUGACAACAGAUGCCGCCAUAAAUUAUGCUAGAUUAUAACAAUACAUCACGAUUCCCGACAGGAAUGUUUGUUACAAUGUACCGCUAGCUUGUUGCCACUAAUGCCGAUUAUGUUGAACUAAACUUUCAUGUUUGUGUAAAGGAACUGAUAACUGUGUAUCUCCUCCUCUGAUACUGUAUCCGGGGUUGCCUGUGUAGAGCCUCUCUAGUAUAAAAUACUUCGACGAGGUACCCACCUGAGUUCUUUUCUUACUCCAAAGUACGAAACUAAGAAAGUAACUCAAUGUUAUUUACUGUAAAUGUCUACAUUUUUAUAUUAUUAUAUUCAUUACAAUUUUACUCUUUACUUGUGCAUUUAAUUCUCUAUCAAAAGACUCUGAAAUAAUAUUUCCCCUUAUGACUUAAUAUUAUCCGAAUUUAAAUAAUCAAGCUACCAAAUAAACUCACCAUUAUUUUAACUAUCUGGCAGAUAGUCAAAUAAUAAACCAGGUUAUGUAACAAAAAGUGUGAACCUUUAAUAACAAAAUAAAGGAUGGAAAAAUCAAACAUGUAUGCACAACAGUCAAUUUAACAGGUACACAAUGCACACAUGCGCACGCCCCAAACAAAUAAGAAUAUAGCCGGCAAGCAAACAAAAUUCAAACCCCAAUGUCACUGCGGUGCUUCCCAAGGCAGGAGUGAAGAAAGGUGAAGGUGGUUUUUCCUCUGUCCAGCGUCCUCACAGUCCUCGUCCCUUUUUCUUCCUUGAAAUCCAAACAAAGCCUUGCUACCCGCAUUAGCUCGACGCUAGCGCCCUUGUCCUCUCCUUCGUGGUCCAGUUCAGAGGCCUGGCUAGCUACCGUUAGCUCGUUGCUAGCACCCAAGCCAAGUCACAUGCAUGCACCUCGCCCCUGUGGUAGCAGCUAACUCCACCACAUUACAGUGUGGUUUGAGUAGUCCACUCAAACGACACACUAUCCCAGUUGAACUUUCCACAGUCCUUGUCAAACACGUCGAUCAACUUUUGAUCACUUUCUUUGUCCUUUCGUUGCCCUCCAACCACCACUCUUACCUUCCACUCCGUCUCCCUUUUUUUCUCUUUUUCGUGUCUCCUCAACACGUCACUUCCUGUCCUUCUUAAACAAUGGUUUCAACAAUAAAAUGGGGAACAGACGUAUUUCUUUUUCACAAAUGAAUCAAACACAUUUAAAUACAAAUCCCUGCAAAAGAAAAUACAGUCAGCCUACACACUAACAGAUAUUUCACCACAUGGCAUAAAGAAAACCUAUAACGUAAUUGCUACUCAAUUAUACUGAAAUUUUACCUGUACCAACUUUUAACCGGGUUACACCUGGUUGUAUACAUUGGGAUGACACCAGUGAAUGGGUACCCCCUUAUCCUCCACAAGUCAAACAGCAACCUGAGCAAUCAAGUAACGAUGAAGGGCUUUUUUUUUUUUUUUUUACAAAGACUUUUGUGCAGCGUGUGUCUCACACCAGCACGGCUGUCUGUCUUUUGAUGUUGUCUGUUCAGCACCACCCAUUUCUUUGGCAAAAAAAACCUGCGGCAAAAUGGCAGGAUGUAGGCCUGUUUGUUUGUGCACGCAGAAAGCUAUUUAGUGCAUGCACAUGCACACGCACUUGGUGCUCCUUUAAUCUCACACUAAAAUCGACCUUGAUCCAAUCUCAGUUGUUUCACACACAUACUUCUACGGACAUUUCUCCUCUGCUCGAGCAAGUCCCAUCAAUACUGCGGGCUUCCAGUAAGUAUGAUGUUGGACUAACUAAGAACUCUACACUAGUUCAGAUUGAGCCUAAAUCUUCUUAUCGCCCUGUACAGGAUCAAUAUCCACUGCGCGCAGAUGCUGUUGAGGGUGUUUGAAACAUUGCUCAAAACUGGAAUAAUUGUACAAUGUGAUAAUUCUCCAGUUCAAACACCAAUAUUUCCAGUGGAAGAAAAUCAGACCUCAAGGUCAGCUGACUAAAUUACUUUUUUUUUUUUUCAAGAUUUGCAAGCUUUUGAUGCUGCAUUAAAUGCUCUGGCUCCUUGUGUGCCAAACCCUGAUACCAUUUUGAGGUAAAUUCUAUAAAUUUGGAUGGACUACAAUUCGGCAGAAAAACACAUUGUAGUUAGCAUUCGUAGUCCGGCGGUGCAGUAGAAAAAUAAAAUGGGAUUCUAAAAGCUAAAUUGAGUAAAUGUUUUGAGGACAUGAAAUUAAAUUGGAUCAACUGUCUGCCAAUUGUUUCGAUGUAUAUGAGAAUGUAUCCAUCCAAGCCACAAUCUGCCCCCAUUUGAGGUCCUGUUUGCAGGCCCUCAGAAUGUUGGACCGCAUCCUCCACAGUUGUGGAUGGACACACAGCUUUGCGAGGACAACGUGAUCAGGUAUUACACAUCUUUGACUAACCUGCUCUCUGUCAAGAAACAAGUUCAUGCAGCAUUACCGAAGGUGACAGGUGAACCCUUGCCUGAAAUCAAACCCAGUGACUUCGUGCUGAUAAGAAAAUUCCGGCGGAAACCGUGGAGGCAUCAGUGCUGGCUGGGCCCUUUUCAAGUUCCCCUUGUGACAACACAAGUUUGCUGAAAGGGCUAUGUGAGUUCAUGUGUAUUGAAUACAACAAUCUUAUGUCAGGGGCUUGGCCAUGCCACUGCCCUGAGCGAGGCUGCCUCCAGCAGGAGCUCUCACCUGCACCUCAUUGUCUUUAAUUAUUCGAUGUAUUUAAGGCUUGUGUGUUGUGUACUACUGGCCAGUUCAAUGUAUGGGACUGCAUGAGUCUGCGUGAGUAUAUGAGCUUCUUGUAUUAUAUUUGCCUUGCCCCAGCGUUCCUGUGCCACCAUAGCCAAGUAUAGUUAAGUCUUGUUUUUGCCUAGUAGUUAUCGGACGCUGUUUUCAUGUUUUUGGACCUUGCCUUUCGCCAUGCCUUUGUUGGACUGCCUUCCAGUGUAUGACCUCUGACUGGAAGAAAACCACCCUUGAAAUCAUGUCACUGCCUCGAAGUUCUGCAUUUGGGACCCCCCACUCGUCCCAUGAUCAUGAGAGAACAAACUGGCCAGCACAGGACCCAGCGGACUUUUUUCCAGUAAAUGUUGCUCUUCGAGCGCAGUGGUACAGAGAACUUACUAUCCUCUGUCUUCACCUUAGAGAGCAGCAGGGUGCUUUAGCUUCACAGUUUGCGGUUCUUCUUGACCUGGCCCAGUAGAGGGGAUUAACCGACCGACCCCACCUCUUGUUUUUGUUCUGGGAACCCCUGGCAUGUGGCAUUUAACACUCGCUCAUGUUUCGUUGGCACCCAAUCCGUGGUCGCCAACCUUCGUUCUGCUCUCCAGUGACGGUGUUCAACCAAUGGCCACUUCCUGCUCAUGUCUCAGCGAUGCUCAACCCUCCAGCAGCGGCACUGACAUUACGUUUGCCGCCUCCCACUUCUAUUUCGGCAUUCACCAUGUGCUGUUGUUCCGGUACGUGUCGUCCACAAUGUGGUCAUGUCUCAUCACCCGUGGCGUCUACCACCACGUGCCACAUCCAGCCAGUGCCAUCCAUUACACUCUCAUGUCUCGUCAGUGCCUGACACCGAGUCACCUCUCGCUGUUCCUCUUUGGAUCAUGCUUUUUCGUUGGGACCCUCUUCACAGACCUCCACCUGAGUGGCUCCACAGGGAACCUGGUGCUUGAGGUCUUAGCCGAUCUCCUGAACUCCUCAGCCAAGCUCCUUGAUUUGGGUGGCCUCGACGGUCACUACACAGACUGGGGCGGGUGUUUGGCGGUGGAAUGAGACAGCCCUUCGGGGUAUCUUCUCCAACGGUCUCUCAGAAAGAAGCUAGCUUGCUGUCCAAACGAGCCUUCCUCUCUCAAGGCUCUAGUAGCCCUCACUAUAUGCUUGUAAAACAGGCAAUGAGAGAGAGCCCAUGAGAGGUGACUCAUCUCGCGAAAAGACUCUCCAGUUCAGAGCAUCACGCCGUCCGCUGCGCACCUGCCUUCUGCACAGCAUUUCGAACUUUCUUCACUCUUCGUUGCAUCCGAUGAACUCGUGCAAAUUGGUAAAACACGAUUAGAUCCACAAUAACACCACCAUCGUGUCAACCAUUGUGCAUCUUCUGUAGUCAAUCCAGUCGUUUUAUUACUUUGUGCCCUCUGACCUAAAAACAAUUCCAGAAAAUCAGGGUUAGCCAAACUUCCAUUGGCCCAAGCUCUCCAUCCCACAUGACCGUUCCUGCUUGCAUCAUACCAUCUUCUCGAAACACACCCAUUCCUGGCCUAAUUAUUUCCCCUGUAACCCAUCAAACAGUGCCCAUCAUGCUUGUCGCAAGCAAUCAGCGCGAAACCAUAUUCCUCUUUGUCUUUCCCCUGACCUGAGAAUUUUUUUAUAUUUUUAUAUAUAUAUAUAUAUAUUUUAUAUUCCCUGGCUCCAAAUUCACAACCCCGUCAUAGAGUGGACUCAUUUGUCUAUCACUGGAUGGACUCCUCAUUGUCAUUCCCAAUAGAUGCUCUCUGUUCUUACACCCUCCAAAGACGCACUAUCUACUUCCGCCCCUUUAGAACGCUCACAAAUUCCAGAAGAAUAUCUAUCAUGAACUCUCUUCAUUGUUCAUCAAGGAUUUAGCAAUCCCUACCCCCACACCCCCACCAUCCAUAUGACUGUGCCAUUGACCUGCUUGGAGCUCCACUUCCCACCAGCCAACUCUUCAAUCUGCCCUCCCCAGGGAUUACAUCCAUGAUUUAUACGUCCCUUCUCGUCUAAGACACCACUUUCCGCUGACACAUUGACUACCAUGGACUUAAAUGAUAUGACUGUCAAAAUAAAUCUCCACUUUCCCUCAUUUGAACCAAUCGGUGACUCCCAAAUCUUCACCAAACUGGACCUCUGUAUCGCGUACCGCCUAAUCCAUAUCCGAGAGGGUGACGAAUGGAAGACCACUUUCAAGACUCCUCUCAGACAGUAACAGGUCGUUGCUCUUUGGGUUAACAAAAGCUCCCACUGUUUUCCAAACAUUCAUUAACAAUAUCCUCCAGGACGUACUCAACUGGUUUGUAUUCAUGUACCUCAAGGAUAUCCUCAUUUUCUGCUGCUCCCCCGUAAAACACCGUGUUUUUGGACACCAAGUCCUCCAGCCUCCCUCCACCCUCCUCAAAAACUCUCUUUAUGUUGAACCACACAAGUGUGAGUUCCACCUUUCCUCUGUAAAUUUGCUCAGUUACAUCAUUCUGAAAGGACAAUUACAACCAGACACCACAAAAAUCCAAGCUGUAAUGAAACAACCACAACUCUGAAAGAACUGUAACAUUUCCUCGGAUAUUCAAAUUUCUACUGUCAAUUCAUCAUCUCAACUAUACUAUACUAUACUCACUAGCCUCAUGUCCACCAGAUUCCUCUUUCAGUGGCCUCUUUCGUCAGCCUCUCAAACAUUUGAAGCUCAAAUCUUAGUUCUCCGAUUAUACCAUUCUGCGGCACCCUGACGUCUCUCUCCAAUUUGUGAUGAAGGUUGACACUUCGAACACCAGAGCUGAACCUGCGCUCUCACAGCAAGAUCCCACAACCUGGAAUUUCAACCCCUUGUACUUCUUUUCCUGUUGCUUAUCCCCAGCAAAAAGAAACUACAUGGGAAUCAGGAAUUACUAGCCAUAGUAUGGGCUCUACAGAAGUGGAGGCACUGGCUGGAGGGAACUGUGCAGCUGUUCAAAAACCUUGUUUAAGCCCAUUUCACCAAACACCUCAAUCCAUGACAAGUUUGAUGGGCCUGCUUCCUCACCAGGUUCAAUUUCAUUCUCUCCUUCCCUGCCGGUUCUCAUAACACUAAAGCUGAUCCUCUUUCCCAUAUCCACUCACCACUCUCAAGUUCGUCAGAACCCAAACCCAUUCUUCUACCCACCUGCUUCAUAGAAACUGGCAAAUAGAAGAUCGAGCAGGUGGUAAAGGAGGCCCAAAAAAAAAAAAUCCAACCUGAUCCUGGGAUUGGACCUUUUGACCACCUGUUUGUACCAGACUCGGCACGACCCAAUGUCCUGCAAUGAGCCCACAAAUCGAAAAUUAACCCUGGCAACAUCCAUAUGACGCACUUCACCCAAAAGCACUUCUUUUAGCUCAGUCUCAUCAAAGAUAUCAAAGAUUUCAUUAAAACCUGCUCAGUCUGCGCACCUAGCUAUAGCUGACCUGCUAUGAGCAGUGCCGAUUUCAACACGCCCAUGGUCUCACAUCACCGUGGACUUCAUCACCAGGCUUCCCUCCUCUGAAGGUAUCACUGUAACAGUAAUUGAUCGCUUUUCUAAAUGUGACCAAUGUGUUCCCCUCCCAAACUCCCAUUUGAUUUCAGGCAGGAGGGGAUAGUUGAUUGUUGCAGGAAACAGAGAUUUUUGUGAAAACACUGGUCAGCUGAUCAGCACCUUCCCAGGCACUCCAUCUGGGCCGGCAGCCUUCCUGAUGUUUACAAUCCUCAGCAAAAUCUCACUUUGUCUUCCUGAAGCCUCAGUGACCUGCUGAUGGGAGAUGGUUGCAGUGAGUCUGAAUCUGAUCCAUUAGUCUCAAACCGGGAAAAGAAACUGUUUAGUUUCUCUGCUGGCGAGGCGUCCAUUUUGGCACACAUCUGGUUAUUUUUGUGGCAGUUUGUUAUGUGUUGUAACCCCUCCCAGAUUUUAUUUUGAAUUUGACACGGGAAAAAUGAAUAUCUGUGUAUUCCUGGUGGUUCUGAUGUUCAAAUAAUUACCAAACAGUGCUUGAAAAACAGUGGCGCAUAUCAGAGAGCGGAUUCUCAUGCCUUGUUUGUCUUAGUAGGGGAAUGUAUGUGGGGAUGAGAGAAAAUAAAGAUGGGGGGGUAGCCCUAUAUGCAUGUUUAAUGUUGGAGUAUAAAUGAUCCCGGGUUUUAUCCCCUCUGCAGGGACACUUCACAUACUGGACGAAUUUGGGGAGAACAGUCUUUAAACAUGCUUGACUGAAGUCACCAGCAACAAUCUUUCUGGGUGGGCAAGCUGCUGUUUUUUCACAGUUGCAAGCAGACAGCUAAGUAAAGUGCUAACUUUAGCAUCCAGCGAGAUGCAAUGGCAAGUCUUGAAAGAAUUUUGCAAGCCAGGAUGCUUUGCGCCAUUCCCAGCUUGCUUUGAGGCACUUAAUGCCAUAAAGCAUGCUUGGAGGAUGUAAAUUGUGUUUAAAGUGCAUGUUUUUUGUCAAUUAUUUCUUGUGUCAUAUUUUAAUUUGUUUUAUUUGCUAGUUAUUCUGUUAUGUUUGCUGUGGUGUGCAUGUAAAUGUAAAAUUGUGAUUGUUCCCCAACUGCCUUUGGAGCGCAUCAUAUGGUAGCUGACAUACAUGAUGAAACACGUGGUAUCAUAUAUGCUAAAAAUGUAACUGGUGUGUUCAGAUGUACUUCAGUGGUCUAUUCCAGCAGUUGGUGACCUUUAACAUUCAAAGAGCCAUUUCAACCUGGUUUCCACUGAAAAGACAACACUGGGAGCCCCAGAAGUGUAUUUUCCCCUUGGAUCUAGGCAGCAAUCAGAGGGAGGACUCUCAAAGACUGAAGUUUGGGCUAAAUGAGGUGUUACAGCUGCAAGCUACAGGUCAGAUCAAGCAUUGCAUUUUAGAGCGCCUCUCAACUCUUGCUCUCUACUGAAAAAAAAAAUCCUCCUUCCCUCCGUGGGCGUUGACAGGAAGUCCCCCUCUCAUUUUCCCCCCAGGAAACCCUCCCUUCUCCCCCUUACCUAUGACCUGUCCCCCUCUUUUUGGCCCAGGAAAGUCUGUGUCCAUUGAAUAAUUGGGUGCAAUAAACCAAUAAAUGCAAAACAUCAAUAAAUUAUAACCAGGAUCCCUGGUGAUAAUCCUGGUGGUCACCCGUGAGGUGGAUCUUAGAGUAAAUGUACAUCAGUUAUCCCAUACUUACUCUUAUACUCUUAUAGUAUUGCAAAGCAUUAUUUAGCGGUAUAACAUUGUUUGAAUUAUGUAAUUUGAAGUUCUCUGUGAAGAGAGCUGUUACAGAUGCUGGAUAGGAACUGUGCCCUGAUCACAAGAGAGCGGCUGGGGCAUCACGCGGUUGUCUGUAAGGGGGCUUGGCACUAAGGAGGGAUGCAUCUGCAUUGUUGUCUGUGUGCACCUCGAUCCCUAAGAGAAGCAACAGCUGUGUGUAACUAGGGACCACCUUAUGGAAGUAAAAAGAAAGACCUCAUCAGAGUGUGCUUCAGAGUGGUAGUAGAUUGUAACUGUCCAUUCUCCUUGCGAGUAAAAUGUCUCCUGUCAUCUUUUCUUGUCUGUUCUUUAUUAAAUGUUCUAGGUAAAGUGAACCUGAGAUUAACUUGCUCCUUCGAUCCGGAUGCCAAAGUAACAGGAUUCCAGCAGAUGUGGUGGAUUCCAGAAUGAUUGUGGCCACGGCAGGCUCCCUAGAGUGAGCCUCAGAUCCUUUUUCAGGGCUCAAGCUCGGCCCGCCAGCUGGGAUCUGAAGGUUUGUGGCAUUCUGAAGGAGGAAAGACAACAGUGGUGAGUUGAAAUUUCCUUUGGGGAAAAGCGAAUAAUUGGAGAUCAUGGAAGAUCAUUGGGCAUUUAAAGGGUAUGUAAAGUCUUCAAUGCACCUUUUGCUGAUAUUAUACAGCGCUGAAUUUGAAUGCUGAAUUUAAAUCUGAAAUCUCUUAUGAAGGAAAUAUUUUUAUUUUUCGAUUAACGGCAAAAAUUGAUCGCACAUUGCUGGAUUCAUUGGAAAUACACGAGCAUACAGCGGAAAAUCCCGUGAAGGGAUGUGACGUCAGAAGUUGAGAUAAACAUGGCUCCUGUUCGACUCCAACGUGAGAACGGUGAUGAAUUUUUCCGAUAAUUCGAGUGAUGAACAUGAUUCUGUAGGGUCCCAACAAGACAGUGAAUAAUAUGAGCGUUAUAAAGGCGUUAAACUUUAUCAAUUUGAGCCAGUUAGAGAGAGCACACACUCAAAUGCAAAUGUUCAAAUGCAGAAAUGCAAAUAGCUGGUGAUGAAGACGUCAACCCAGCAGUCAGACCCAGCGAGGAGAACAUGCUCGUUUUGGAAACACUGACUUAUCCACAGGUGUGUAAAUGCUGCACACCCAUGGAAACAACAGAGUUGUUCCCAUGAGAGUCAACAUAUUCACCAGAAAAUGGCAGAUUAUGCAGACCAUCUGCUGCAGUGCAACCAGGACUUAUUGCCAGCUGUCUGAACCCAUGAGUACUUGAGGUUGCCGAUCUCCAGUUCAGGCAACAGUAUCAUCAGUGACUGGAUUUUAGCUAUUGUUAAAAAUUAUUAAUAUCAAUAUUUCUCCAGGUGGCACAGUGGAUCAGCUACAAAGCGUUGGCCUCGCAGUUCUGAGGUCUUGGGUUCAAUCCCGGACCCACCUGUGUGGAGUUUGGAUGUUCUCCCUGUGCCUGGGUGGGUUUUCACCGGGCACUCUGGUUUCCUCCGACAUCCCAAAAAAAACAUGCAACAAUAAUUGGACACUUUAAAUUGACCCUAGGAGUGAUUGUGACUGUGGCUGUUUGUCUCUAUGUACCCUGCGAUUGGAUGGCGACCAGUUCAGGGUGUACCUUGCCUCCUGCCCGUUGACAGCUGGGAUAGGCUCUAGCACUCCCACGACCCGAUUCUCGUGAGGAUAAGCGGCUUGGAAAAUGGGUGGGCAUGGGUACUUUGUUUAAAAAAAAAACUAAAAUACAUUAAAGUAAAAAAUAUAGGAUCCUUCACUUACUAUGAGAGUAGGGAGGCUGGGAUGUAGAAAAUGAAGGGAGGCUGCAGUCAGUUAUUGCUAAGUAAGCAAGUGCAGGGAGCCGAUGCUAGUGGUAAAUUCCUCCUCGGCUUCCUCUCCUUACUGCUCUUUCAAAGUUGGGAAAAUAUGCCAUACCAUCUUCCCUUAAUGAACAUGAGGCUGAUAUUUUGCCUACGUUGAUUCGGAUCCUUGAUCCAUAAUGUAAGUAAUCUUUCCAUCUUGGCAACGAUCGAACAACGUUGCAUCAGUUUUUUUUUUUCUUCACAAAAAAAAAGCUGCUUAAUGAUCACUGUAUCCCUCAUUGGGGUGAAACCCUUCACGUGCGCUAAAAUACAGGCUUUAUCCUAAAUGAUAAUCGCCACGGUCACCUGACUGAAGCCCAAGUCUUUAUUUCCGUCAUGUCCAUUGGUAUGAAUCCUUUCUCCGAUUUUAUUUAAUUUUUUUCAGUCAUUACUUUUCUUCGUCUGGACCAGCAUUGCUAAAAAAAAACAAACAAACCCAGCUUUCUUCUUUUGGGCCAUAAUGUGUAAAAAGGUGGGCAAAAAGGGUAAGUAAACUCCCAGUGCACAAACAAUAUGCAUGAGCAAAGCAGAAACACAAUGGUGCUGGGGCCAUAAUGACGGACACGACUCGGGCAUUGUAAAAUCGAAAUGUUUUAGGUCGAGACCAUCUUAACCCGAAAACUCCCUGUAUUUUCUUAUUUUCAGGUCGAUAUUGCUUAUAGACAGCUUGUCAGAUGGUGUUGGGGAAUUGUAGGCAGAAAAAAAUGUGCCACUUCCAUCCUGUAGUCUGUCUAAGAGUUGUGGCCAAUGGCCAAGAUUAAAAAUGUCAUGAUCCUGCCGCUUCAACACGAGCUGUGCGGGUGCCCGCGCGGCUGCGCGAAUUGGAGGCACACACCUGCGCCUCAUGCGGGCUGAUCAUCCCCCGUAUAUAUAGGACCCGGUGACGACUGGUCCUCGGCCAGUUCGUUGAGCUUUAUGUCCCGUUCCAGCACUCUCGUACCCCUGAUUGAACCUGUGUGUACCGACCUUCGUCCGUUCUCCGACCAACCCCGUAAGCCUGACUCCUUCGAUACUUCUGCCUGCGCUGAUUGUUCUCCCGUGUACCGACUCCUGCCUGUCCGCUCAUCUGCUCUCUCGCCCGACGUCACAACUACCGACUGCCGGCUCGAUCCCCGACCUCUGCAUACAAUAAACGUGUCCCUUCUUGUACUACCUUGCGUCUUCCGAGUUCCUGCAUUUGGGUCCUACUCUCGUUUCCGAUGGGACGUGACAAAAAAGCAUUUACAUGGUCUGCGGCUCGAUCCCCGACCUCUGCAUACAAUAAACGUGUCCCUUCUUGUACUACCUUGCGUCUUCCGAGUUCCUGCAUUUGGGUCCUACUCUCGUUUCCGAUGGGACGUGACAAAAAAGCAUUUACAUGGUCUGCAUCGUGAAUUUUUUUGUUUUGUCUUUGUAUAAAUGUUGAUGUAUAUGUUUACAAUGUAAACAUACACCACAGAACUAAAAUCACGUUUUUAUUGAACUAUAUGCUUAUAUUGUGUAUAAAUAUGUUUCUUUCAUAACAUUUUCACUGAAUGCUUAUUUGGUCUUUCAAUAUGAGCAUCCUGAGAUUGAAAUACAUGUUGCAGUAUCCUCUCUGAGGCCCUGUAGCUCAGUGGUUUAGAGCACUGGUUUGGUAAACCAGGGGUUGUGGGUUCGUAUCCCACUGGGGCCUCCACUCCCUGAGAAGGGUUGCGUCAGGAAGGGCAUCCGGCGUAAAAAUUGUGCCAAACAUAUAUAUGCGUUCAUCUGAGAUGACACGCUGUGGCGACCCCG